UACGGGGGGAGCAAGCGUUGUUCGGAUUUACUGGGCGUAAAGGGCGCGUAGGCGGCCUCCGCAAGUCAGUUGUGAAAUCUCCGAGCUUAACUCGGAAAGGUCAACUGAUACUGCGGGGCUAGAGUGCGGAAGGGGCGCGGUCGAGGGAGACGGAAUGCCGGGUGUAGUGGGGAAAUGCGUAGAGAUCCGGCGGAACACCGGUGGUGAAGACGGUCUCCUGGGCCGAGGGCCGACGCUGAGGCGCGAGAGCGUGGGGAGCGAACCGG
rnacentral:rRNA from 1 species